UACAGAGGGGGCAAGCGUUGUUCGGAAUUACUGGGCGUAAAGGGCGCGUAGGCGGCCUUCUAAGUCGAACGUGAAAGCCCCGGGCUCAACCUGGGAAUUGCAUUCGAGACUGCGUAGCUAGGGUGCGGAAGAGGGAAGCGGAAUUUACCGGUGUAGCGGUGAAAUGCGAUAGAUAUCGGAAGGAACACCAGUGCGAAAGCGGCUUCCUGGUCCAGCACCGACGUUCAGGCACGAAAGCGUGGGGGAGCAAACGGG
rnacentral:rRNA from 1 species